GUUUGAGGAGACUCAGAGUCACUGUCAAGUCGUCAAGGACCUGGGUCACCCUGCAUCCCCAUCUGGGGCUCCUUCUAUAUCAGUUUUCCUGAAGCUUAGUCCAACUUCUUGAAGUGGGCCAAGAAAAGGCUGUUUCCAGAAUUGGAUAUUGCAUCUCUAAAACACAAGCUUCACUGAUGUCGUGGAGUCUAUGAGACACAAACUUUAUCUCAUAUGGUAGAAUCCGGAAUGAUCAGCCAUCGCUUCACACCCAAGGAAAGAACUGCUGUCCAGUGCCAGGCCCAGAGCUUCAUGGUUUGUGGCAAGUCUUUGGAAAGAUAACGUCUAACUUCAUUCAUUUUAGCUGAAAAUACCCCAUGGUGGCAUUUUUCUGGUCUCCCUACUAAAAAAGUGAGCAUGACA
ensembl:lncRNA novel transcript